CUGUAGCCGGUCCCAAGGGUAUGGCUGUUCGCCAUUUAAAGAGGUACGUGAGCUGGGUUUAAAACGUCGUGAGACAGUUUGGUCCCUAUCUGCCGUGGGCGUUGGAAUCUUGACGGGGGCUGCUCCUAGUACGAGAGGACCGGAGUGGACGUACCGCUGGUGUACCUGUUGUCUCGCCAGAGGCAUCGCAGGGUAGCUAUGUACGGAAGAGAUAACCGCUGAAAGCAUCUAAGCGGGAAACUCGCCUGAAGAUGAGGAUUCCCUGGAGGCUUGACCUCCUUGAAGGGUCGUUCGAGACCAGGACGUUGAUAGGCUGGGUGUGGAAGCGCAGUAAUGCGUUAAGCUAACCAGUACUAAUUGCCCGUAAGGCUUGAUCCUAUAACCAGUGUGUUUC
rnacentral:rRNA from 1 species